rnacentral:tRNA from 1 species
GCGGCUUUAGUUCACCGGUAGAAUCCGAGCUUCCCAAGCUUGAGAAGUGGGUUCGAUUCCCACAAGCCGCA